ACAGCAAACUUUGUAAAAUAUGUAUAAAUGACCACAGUGCCCCAUAAUGCCUCUGCAUUGUUCUCGGGGUCUACAGUGAAUUGCUGUACCAUAUUCAAAUACAUCUAAAUUCAGCAUGUAAUGGUGUUUCUGCAGCUACAUAUUAUUGCAGUGCGCUCGCGGUGAUUAACAACAUUUUGGGGCUGGGUGGGGCACUCGCUAUUUGUUUAAUUAUUAAUUUAUUUUGAUGGCAGUGAAAUUAAAGACAGAGCUUCUCGGGCAGGUAGGCAGCGCAUCUCGGCAGAUGUUGAUGAGGUGCAGGCGGGCAGCGGGCAGAUCCGCGUCCUGCCGCUAGAGUCGUGCUGCUCCCGGAUCCCGGAUCCGCUCCGGUGGCGUGUGCGUGUCGCCCCGAGCGCCUCCGAAGCGCCGCGUCCCGGAAAUGUGGCAAAUGUAACGAAUUUAACAAGUGCAUCGGGAUCGCAGGGACCGAGAAAACCGCCAAGGAUAAGUGAGCAGAGACGCCAUGUCCCGCGUGGUGAAGAAGAGGCAGGCCGACCCCAGGGUGGUCCAGCACAUCUGGGCCGCCAUCGAGGUCAUCCGCAACCAGAAACAGAUCGCCAACAUGGAUCGGAUAUCCAAGUACCUCAGUCGCGUGUUCGGGGUGCACCCCAAGGAAACGGCACGGCAGCUGGGUCUGGCAGUGAAGGACGGCCUGGUGGUGGAGACCCUCACCGUGGGCUGCAAGGGCUCCAAGGCUGGCAUCGAGCAGGAAGGCUACUGGCUGCCUGCUGAGGACACGGUACGAGCCGCCAAGGACGUGGACUGGGAGCCAGAGAGCCAUGACGCCUACUGCUUUGAGUGCCACCUGCCGGGGGACGUGCUGGAGUGCGAGAGCUGCUACCGCGUCUUCCACCUGCGCUGCCUGGCCGAGGACAGCCGGCCCCGGGACGGGGCGCCGCACUGGCAGUGCGCGGCGUGCAAGGGGAGCAAAAAGAAGAACGUGAGCAAACAGGAAUUGAGCAGGUACCUGCGGUUCAUCGUGCAGCGGAUGAAGGAGCGGGGGUCAUUUGCUCCACAGGCUUUGGACCUGAGCAAGAAGGGCAAGGACACCACACACCCCAUGUACCGGAGGCUGAUCCACACUCCACUGGAGGUCUGCAAAAUACAGGAGUACGUCGCUGAGGGGAAGUACAGGAGCUUUGAGGAGUUCAAGGCUGACGUUCAGCUGGUGGUGCACAACACGGCCAUCCUACAUGGAGUGCACAGUGAACAGGCUGAAAUCGCCAGGAUGCUGUACACCGACACUUGUCACGAGCUGAAUGAGCUGCAUCUCUGCAGGACCUGCUUCUAUCUGUCCAACGCCAGGCCACACAACUGGUUCUGUUACCCUUGUAAUCCCAGGCAUGAGCUGGUCUGGGCUCGCAUGAAGGGUUUCGGGUUUUGGCCCGCCAAGAUCCUGCAGCGUGAGGACAGUCAGGUGGACGUGCGUUUCUUUGGACACCAGCACCAGAGGGCGUGGAUCUCCGCAGACAACAUCCAGGAGAUCUCAGUGAGCGUACAGAAGCUGCAGGUGAAGCGCAGCGCGGGCUGGAGGAAGGCCUGCGAGGAGCUGGAGCUGUACCAGCGCUUCCUGCAGGAGGGCCGCAUGUGGAGGGAGCGCGAGAGGGACAGGGAGAGGGAAAGGGAGAGGGAGCGAGACAAGGAGGAGCGCGCCGAGGAGGAGCCCGAGGCUGGCAUCUCGUCCACCAGCACCGAGCAGCUCAAGGUGAACCAGGAACCCAAAGCAAAGAAACAGCGUCGCAGCCAAAACCCAGAUUUGAAAGAGGAGCAGCUGGAGCCAGAGAUGGAGGCCGUCAGCUCCAGCCAGGAGAUCCCCACGUCGCCCCACCAACCGGAGAAGUUCUCGGUGUCCACGCAGACCCGGAAGGCCAGUGCGGCGUCGCCAAGGACACUGCACCGCGGCACCCAGACCAGUGCCGAUAGUGACAACAGCGGCUGCCAGAACCACUGCCACGAGAAGUACGCCAAGAUCUUCAACGAAGUCAAGGAGAUGAUGAAGGCGGAGAACAAGUGUGAGACAGAGCGGGUAGUGCGGGAGUCACUGGAGAAGCUGCGUGCCGAGAUGGACGAGGAGAAGCGGCAGGCGGUGGCCAAGGCAGCAUCCAGCACCCAGGCUGAGAUGGAGCGCCGCUGCAAGCAGGUGAAGGAGAAAUGCAAGGAGGAGCUGGUGGAGGAGGUGAAGAAGAUGGUGUCUCAGCACAAGCAGCUCAUCUCGCAGACCAAGAAGAAGCAGUGGUGUUACAACUGCGAGGAGGAGGCCAUGUACCACUGCUGCUGGAACACCUCCUACUGCUCCAUCAAGUGCCAGCAGGAGCACUGGCACGCGGACCACAAGCGGACCUGCCGGCGGAAGCGCUGUAGGUGAACUUUAUCAUGUUUUCCUGUCUGGAUUUAAAAAAAUGGACACAGACGGACUUGAGGAUCCCGAUAUUGUAACACUACACGAAACAUUUUAAUUGUUAAAAUUUUUAGUCUUUGUUGGGAUCUUGUUGACUGAGGACCCCCAACCCCCCCAAAGACUGUGACUAUGUGCGACCCCAUUUUGCACACGUUUCUGUGCCCCUCCUCCAUUCCCCGGAAGCUUCUGGAAAUGCCAAACGCUGCCGUGGAUGUGCCUGCAAUGUGGCAGGUGGGCAGGCUGGCCGGUGGCGUGUGACUGCGGGGGCAUGCAGGGCUGCUGGCUGGGGGCAGGAGAGCGGGCCCCCCCCCCCCCCAGGGUGCCCUGUCAGAAACCAGGUAGCUAAUCGCUGCUGAGAAUGUCACCGGAAUAGAGAGCAGCGCCUGUUUUAUUAUAAUUGGGUACAUUGUACGUAUUCUACAUGCUGGUUUCCUCUGUUCGCCAGCUGUGGGGUUUUUAAAAGCACAUCUCUCUUAUGCUGGCUCAUGAGCAUCCCGUCACGGCCGCUGGGCAUAUAGAGAGGGGGGGGUAGGACCCCCCGCGGCCUUCGCAGACCAUCCAGCCUCUCCAAUGAGGACAGACGGAACCAGAAACAGCUGCAGCCCAGACCUGCCCUGCCCUGCUCCGCCCCUCCCAGGCUUCGCGGUACAUGUAAGACGGUGUGUAUGUGUAUGUGCCGCCCUGACGUUUAUAAUAUGCACCUCCCAAGAUCAUUUUAGACAUUUGUUUUCGGUUCCUUGAGUAGCUUCUGUGAUUAGUAGACGCCUCCCUAGUCAGACGAUGGUGUUGGGUAGCUGCGCGUGGACCCGGAACCAUCCCCCCUCCCCGGAGCCAUAUGGCGCCCCCUGCUGUUCGCGUACAGUGCUUCUGCUGGAUUUGCGGUUGAAGCUUGAAGCAACUCUAAGGGAGACCCUGCUACACUGCAAAGGGCACCCUGCUACAUGACAAAGGGCACAAUGCAAGGGAGACUCUGCCACACUGCAAAGGGAGACUCUGCCACACUGCAAAGGGAGACCCUGCUACUUGAAAAAGGAGAUCCUGAUACUCUGGAAGGGAGACCCUGCUACAUGGCAAAGGGCACCCUGCCACACUGCAAGGAGUACCCUGUUAUACUGCAAGCGAAUACCUGCAUCGAUGGAGGCUUUUUAAAUAGAAACUGACUGCAAAUUAUACCAUACAAAAAUGUGAGGCCUUUUUUAUGCUGGAGCCUCUAUUCUUCAGGAUAAUGUGGUUUUCCUUACGCCCUUUCGUUCUUUGUAAACUUUAGUUACUAAACAGGAAUGUGGCCUCCACAGCCUGCAUGCACCACAAGAUCUUUGCUUGGUUUGCAGUACAGUGGCCCCCUAUUAAAAUGAGAAUCGCACAUGAUUGACCUCUAAUUAUUAUUAUUAUUAUUAUUUUUUAUUAUUUUAUUUUUAUUUUUUUACAGAGUCCUAUUCUGCCAUUUUUGUCGGAGCUCCUCCAGACACUGGGGGGCAGCACACGCCGCCCAUUUGUGUUCCUGACCCCCCACUAAUGUCCUGCUCCCCAUUGACCACCUGUGCCAACCCAUAGCUGUUACCAUUGUUCUUAUGGGUCAGUCCUUGUUGGUUGUUGUUUUUGAGAAAAACAAUCCUAUACAUUCCAUCAUUGUUUGUGGUACAUAACCCCCCCCACACACACUUUAUGUGUAUAUGUAGCACCGCAUUUUGUUACUGAACAGGAAUACUGCCUCCACAGCCUGUGCAGUGUAAUGAAUACGUUUGGUGUGACAAUAAAGUCCCA